GCCGGACUGGCGCAAUUGGAUAGCGCACCAGACUUCUACGCUUAGUGACGCUUUUAAAAAGCGUAUUCGCUAACGCGGGUCAUCUGGGGGUUGCGGGUUCGAAUCCCGCGUUCGGUU